UACGGGGGGGGCAAGCGUUGUUCGGAAUUACUGGGCGUAAAGGCUCGUAGGCGGCCAACUAAGUCAGACGUGAAAUCCCUCGGCUUAACCGGGGAACUGCGUCUGAUACUGGAUGGCUUGAGUUUGGGAGAGGGAUGCGGAAUUCCAGGUGUAGCGGUGAAAUGCGUAGAUAUCUGGAGGAACACCGGUGGCGAAGGCGGCAUCCUGGACCAACACUGACGCUGAGGAGCGAAAGCCAGGGGAGCAAACGGGG
rnacentral:rRNA from 1 species